GGAAUCUCUGUUAUCAGAGAAUUAAACAGAGGUGCUGGCUGGAGCACAGCUUCAAGGAAAAAAGCUGGACCUGAGAGGUAAAAAGGCCUCACUGGUGGCAGGCAGAAGACUUGGAAAGCAGAAUUCCAAUCAAGGUUUCUCACCUGGGCAAUCCCCUAGCCCAAAGAAAAUCUGUUGUUUAGAGAUGAGCUGUAGAGUCAAGACUCUCUUUGUGCAGCUACUUUGAAAUACACAGGCAUCUUCUUCACUUCUGUGGGUUCUGUGAGCUCCAGCUAGACGGUACAGGCAGGACUCACUCCAGAGAUGCUGUGGCUUCUGCUGCAGGUGUUCAACAGCAGGAAGAUAAGAGGAGGUUUGAGAAGUGCUACUCACAGAUUGCACCAAACAAGCUAAGGUGGUUACUUUUAUACUGUUAUCUUUUAUAGCAUGUGCCAUUGAGAGUGUGAUACCUGAAGCUGAGGGCU
rnacentral:lncRNA from 1 species